rnacentral:tRNA from 1 species
GUUCCAUGUAGCGAAAUGGAUAGCGCUUUGGACUUCUAAUCCAAAGGUCGUGGGUUCGAAUCCCACUUGGGAUG